rnacentral:tRNA from 1 species
GGGACACCCCCAGUGGGUGUCGGGGCUUCU